AAACAUGGUGGCAGUCUAGAUGCAGGAUGCUUCCUCUCCCCAGCACCCAACGACAUAGACUACCUCAAAAGACCAUAAAAACCAUUUUCAGAAGAACAGAGGAACUAUACAGUAGGGCACAGCAUUUAAGGAUGAUGAGAAAGAAGAGAAGCCACAUUAGAGGCAUACACAGAUGAUUUGAGAAGAUGAGGAAAAUGGGCUACAAGGAAUGAAGGUAACUAGAUGUUAGUGGAGACAUUCAUUGACAUACUGGUAUGCCCCUACACUUUGUUACACAAAGAAACAAUAGAAGCUACAA
rnacentral:lncRNA from 1 species